AAGUUGGCGGGAGCUGCUUCCAAGUUUGGUGUGUCUUUGUUCGCACGUGGUCUGACAAUGAAAACAAUGUCACAAUUCGAGAGACGGAUUUUUACGCACAUCAGACACUCCAGACAGAGAAAGAGUAAAGGAAAACGAGUGUGGACAGUGGUAUGAAGAAGGAACCAGAUAUGUUAAGGUUCCACAAAGAGAAGCUUUUAAUGACCACAAUCUUGUGUGAGAAUGCUGUGGAUUACACUAUUUCUGAUUGAUGAAAAUGGAGGAUAAUUAAGGCUGUUAACGAGACAAGACACUUUUCAUACCAAUAGGACAAGUUAUUCCUGUAGAACAAAUACCCAGCAGUCUUGAUUGGUAAUGUUACGAAGGGUAAUGGUUGAACCGUGCAAGGAGGAGAUUCCAUCCAGAAACUGGAGUUCCAUCACUGAGCUAGGUUUUAGCAUCCAUCAUGUUAGCAGAGUGAAACACAGACUUGUCGGGACCAGUAUGGUGUAGUGACCUGAAAGUCUGGGGUCCUUCGUCUGUGAGACUGACUAAGACAUGGCUGUUUCAGGUGAUAUUGAACGGUGAGGGUAUUGACGGAAGCCUUACUGCUUUAUCAGCGAUGAACCAGUACACCUUCUGGUAGUAGCUUGUUUCUGUGCUGAUGAGGAAGAUUUACCAGGGGAAAUGCAUUUUUGAGAAAAGUAUAUUUACUAAAUAAGUAGGCUGGUGACUGACAGAAUUGUGUGAAUACGCUGUCAGCCUGGAGGUCACUGACACUAUGGCUUCAGCAGCUGGAAGUCUGGUCCACAAACUAUAGGUGAUUGUCUUAUCCGUGGAGACAAUAGUGAAUAUAUCAACUCGAUAAGGAAAGCCACAGGGAACACAAGAACUCUUGGACAUCACCCAAGUCUGGAGAUAAUCCCGGAAUUAACCAGAAAUCUUCACUAGAGGUGGCUGCUGUUGACAUCAAAUUCUAAUUUCUUAUUUGUCCUUAAUUCCACAUUUGAAUUGACACAAAAUGAUUUGUGUCAAGCCCUGGAGGUCAUGCUGCUAUAUUGCGUAUUGUUAUUCAACGCUAAGCUCACAUUUUUUUCAAUAAAGAAACAAACAGUCGAAAUUAUACAAAAGCUAGAUGUAACCAUUGGAAUAAAAACUAUGGAAAGUUUUAUGGUUAAGAAUUUUAAAGAAUGAUACAA